UUAACACAUGCAAGUCGAGCGGUAAGGCCCUUCGGGGUACACGAGCGGCGAACGGGUGAGUGACACGUGGGUGAUCUGCCCUGCACUUCGGGAUAAGCCUGGGAAACUGGGUCUAAUACCGGAUAUGACCAAAGGCUGCAUGGUUUUUGGUGGAAAGGUUUACUGGUGCAGGAUGGGCCCGCGGCCUAUCAGCUUGUUGGUGGGGUAAUGGCCUACCAAGGCGACGACGGGUAGCCGACCUGAGAGGGUGACCGGCCACACUGGGACUGAGACACGGCCCAGACUCCUACGGGAGGCAGCAGUGGGGAAUAUUGCACAACGGGCGAAAGCCUGAUGCAGCGACGCCGCGUGAGGGAUGACGGCCUUCGGGUUGUAAACCUCUUUCAGCAGGGACGAAGCGAAAGUGACGGUACCUGCAGAAGAAGCACCGGCCAACUACGUGCCAGCAGCCGCGGUAAUACGUAGGGUGCAAGCGUUGUCCGGAAUUACUGGGCGUAAAGAGCUCGUAGGCGGUUUGUCGCGUCGUCUGUGAAAACUCGAGGCUCAACCUCGAGCUUGCAGGCGAUACGGGCAGACUUGAGUACUGCAGGGGAGACUGGAAUUCCUGGUGUAGCGGUGAAAUGCGCAGAUAUCAGGAGGAACACCGGUGGCGAAGGCGGGUCUCUGGGCAGUAACUGACGCUGAGGAGCGAAAGCGU
rnacentral:rRNA from 1 species